rnacentral:rRNA from 1 species
UACGUAGGGGGCAAGCGUUGUCCGGAUUUAUUGGGCGUAAAGGGCGCGUAGGCGGGCGGCCGCGUCCGGGGUGAAAUCCUCCCGCCCAACGGGAGAACGGCCUCGGAUACGGGCGGCCUCGAGGGGGGUAGGGGCGUGCGGAACUGUGGGUGGAGCGGUGAAAUGCGUUGAGAUCCACAGGAACUCCGGUGGCGAAGGCGGCACGCUGGACCCCUCCUGACGCUGAGGCGCGAAAGCCAGGGGAGCGAACGGG